CCUACGGGAGGCAGCAGUGAGGAAUAUUGGUCAAUGGUCGGGAGCCUGAACCAGCCAAGCCGCGUGAGGGAUGAAGGUCCAGAGUAUCGUAAACCUCUUUUGUCAGGGAACAAAGGCGGGUACGCGUCCCCGGAUUAGUGUACCUUACGAAAAAGCAUCGGCUAACUCCGGGCCAGCAGCCGCGGUAAUACGGAGGAUGCGAGGGUUAUCCGGAUUUAUUGGGUUAAAAGGGUGCGCAGGCGGGCUGUUAUGUCAGCUCGAAAAUCGCCCGGCUCAACCGCGACCCGCAGUUGAAACUGGAGGCCUUGAGUGCACAACAGGCAGGCGGAAUUCGUGGUGUAGCGGUGAAAUGCAUAGAUAUCACGAGGAACCCCGAUUGCGAAGGCAGCCUGCCGGGGUGCGACUGACGCUGAGGCUCGAAGGUGCGGGUAUCAAACAGGAUUAGAUACCCGGGUAGUC
rnacentral:rRNA from 1 species